rnacentral:rRNA from 1 species
CCCUUAGAUGUUCUGGGCCGCACGCGCGCUACACUGAUGCAUUCAACGAGUCUAAAACCUGGUCUGAUAGGGCUGGGUAAUCUUUUGAAUGUGCAUCGUGAUUGGGAUAGAUGAUUGCAAUUCUUCAUCUUCAACGAGGACUGCCUAGUAAACGCAAGUCAUCAGCUUGCAUUGAUUACGUCCCUGCCCUUUGUACACACCGCCCGUCGCUCCUACCGAUUGAAUGUUCCGAUGAAUACCAUGGACUGAGAGUAUGAAUGGGUUCGCCUAUUUCUGCUUCUCGGGAAGUGGAGUAAAUCUUAACAUUUAGAGGAAGGAGAAGUCGUAACA